AGUAGACCCCUUGAAUGUCUUUUAUAUUUUCAUGAGGGCAAGAAAGAGCUCAUAAGCAUUCGACUCAAGAUAUUUUAAUAGAAAAUUAGUGUGUUAUGGAAUGGUUUUGACUGUUGGUCUUAUGUAAAUGUUGAGCUUUUAAAAGUCCAUCAUUUCACCUCCUUUCCAUUUUUCCUGAAAUGAAGUGAAGUGAUCUGUGUGUAUAAUCUAACUUCUUUACUGUUUGCUUUUUAUUCUUGGAAAAAUGGAAGAAAUGGAUCAAAUACAAGAGGGUACUUUGUGUGGUCCUUCUUGGACGUGUUCGAGUUGUUGGAUGGCUAUAAAUCAAGUUAUGGCCUGUACUAUGUUGACCGACAUGAUCCGGAUUUGAAGAGAUACCCUAAGCUCUCGGCACAUUGGUAUUCACAGUUCUUGAAGGGGAGAAGCGUGAGAUCAGAUGAAGUCUUCUCACUCGAGAAAAAUAUUUCAAGUCUUUCUUAUGAUCUUGACUCUCAGUAGGCUAAGAUCUAUGCAAAUAAAGGAUAUUCUACGAUUACAGUAUCAUGAUUAAUAAAGUUCAUAAGAUUUCUUUGUAAUUAUCUAUUGAUUUCUUCGGGAACAACGUACAUUUUUCUGCUGAAAAUAAUAAUAAUUAUUUUUAAAAUUUUGUUUUCUAGUUUUUGUACAAGAAAACUCCUGGGAAUGCUCUCAAUAUUCAGCUUUCUACGCCAAACAUUCAGGCACAAAACAGAAAUUUAUAAGGGGAUACAAGUACCAUUGCUCCAUUACAUAACUGACAAAAAGUUCAGUUCGGAUUAAUUUUUCUACUGCUAGAGAAGGAAAACCGAUUAAUUACAUGCAUUGCCAGCUAGAAAUUAACUUUGUAUCAGCUAUCUUAUCUCUGUUAGAAGAAUUUUGAACAUGCAACUCAAUGAGGCAUUUAAAAAAUUCGGGGAUGGCAGUAAUUAACAGCUCUAAUUUGUAUAAUUAUGGAAAUACUUAAAUUAAUAAAACUAGAAAAACGUUUAUCUCCAUGUGGUAUUUUGAUUAUCAAGUAGUUGUUUAAUUUAGUUUCUUUGGCAUUGUAUAAUAUUUAUUCACUUUUAUUUCAAACAAAAAUUUUUAAUUCCAAGCAGAGAUCACAAAUGGGCUGGGCAAAGACCAAGCCCAAACCCUUAAAAACCAUGUCAAAAUUUGGACGGGACGGGUCGGGCCUGGGCUUCCCAAAGAACCGAAACUCAAUCGAAAAAGUAGCUUAUGUAUAAAGGCUACAGGGGCAAAGCGAAUAUAAACAAAUAUGAGACGCAAUUAUGAUUUAUGAACAUUUGAAAAAAGUUAUAAACUUAACAAAUGUUUUAAGACAUCAACACAUUCAGUCAGAUUAAUUCAUUCAACGACUUUGUUCAAUGCUUAGACCUUAUCAUAAGAGUUUUCAUAAAUAAACCUUCAACUACAGAUAACCACGGUCUGUGAGUAGGGAUGGCAAAAUCCCGGACCGGGUCCGGGUAUUGCAAUGACCGAAUUCUGUCCGGAUGCAACAAGUCCGGAUUUAGGCCAGAUUUUAAUCCGGGUACCCAAAUUUUAUAUUUUUUAAUAUUAUAUGUGUAUAUAUUUUAUAUUUUUUGGUAAUUUUAUAAGUUUUAAAUUUAUUUCAAUAAAAUUUGACAUGAAAAUAUAAUUUUUAAGUAUUUAAAAUUUUAUAUAUGUAUAAUAAAUGAGUCAAAUAAAUAUAAAUAUUUAAAAUAAUAUAUAUUUUAUAAUUUUUUUUAAAAAAUCCGGGUUCCGGGUUUAUCAAGUGAUGCCCAAGACCGACCCGGCUUCAUACCCAGGCCGGGUAAUACCUGGCCCACAAUGCUCGGGUACGGUCCGGGUCCGGACCGGACGGGUAUUUUUGCCACCUCAAUCUGUGAGGGAUUUAAUCGAUUAAUUUUUAAAACGUUUGGAUUAUUUGGUUUUUUCCCCAAACAAGAAGGAGUGCAAUGCAAAUUGGAGGGAAAAAAAAAACAUAAAACCCCAACACGGUCUAGCUCUGCAACACCAUCACUCCUCUUCUUCGCAAACACUUCGACUCGAACGCAGAUCCGAGAGACCGAGACCUCCGUUACGUGUUCUUAAGAAGGCAUAUGUUGACAGCAUGAUUAAAAUGCUACACGUAGGACCCCGAAACUUGUUCAGUGGUAUGUAAACUGUUGAAAGAGGAGGAUAAUGAAGCAUGGGGUGUUGAGCCAUUUGACUCAGACGAUGCUGAUGCCAACCGCAGUGAGUCUUGUGCGCAAAGGCAUUGUGCAGGCGACCGAUAUUAAAUUUCCUCUGGCCUUCCGAGCAAAGUCAUUUUCUCUAGCGAUUGUGUCAGAUGCUGUGGAUUACUUGUCUCCGAAGUUACCUUAACAGAACUCUUCCAGAAUUGGCUAGGGUAUCUGCUGAUGGUGUAGUAAUAUUUGCUGGUAAAUCCCUCGUUUAGCUUUUUUAAAAUAUGUGUAUGAAACUAUUGAUAUUCUUAUGUUCUUUUGAUAUAUCGUUUUGUUGUGUAGGUUAUCCACAUCAGCAAAGAGCUAAAGUUUCUGAACUAUCCAAAUUUGGUCGCCCUGUGAGUUAUUACUCGUUGCAGGAUUUCAAUAUGGUCUUAGUCCUCGUAGGGCUUCUCGUGUUCCUAUAUAUUGGUUGGAUUUGAACUAGACCUAUGACUUUUACAAUUUCAUUUGAAUGCUGUCUUUGUUACUUCGGAUUGAUCACGUGCUAGCAUUUAAUUUGUUGAGAAACACAAUUCAUACAUUUUGGAUGCUUGAUUGGUCAAAAUACGACUGAUAUCUUUGCUCACUCGUUUUAUAUGGGAUUAUUUUCGAUUCUUUUUGGGUUCAAAAUAUUUUGGUAAGUUUUGGCCGUACAGGCACAGUAAUUCAAGUUCUUUCUUUUCAUUGAAGAAAGUUGGGUCCAUGAAACGUUACUUUUCUGUAGGCCAAAUUGCGGAGUUCAACUUGGUGGAUACGGUAUUUUCUUCAGAAUAGCUUGGAAGAGAAUGAAGUAGCCGCGAAGAAGUUUGAACAGGCUUCAGUUAAGAGAUCUUAUAAGCCGGCUUGUCAAGUUUUCCACUUGAAGUCAUAUCACUGAGAAUCUCAGCAACAUAUACUCUCUUAUUGAAAUUACACAUUUGAAAACCAUGCUAGCAAGCAUAUACCCGAAGGGCAAGUAAUGUUGUGUACCAAUCGUGAGACAUUAAAUCCUUCAUCCAAAUAUUUAUUAGGGGAGUGAGUUCACAAGAAAUGCCUCCCCGCCUUUAUGUGUUCUUUAGAUUUUGGUUUGCUUCUAAUCUUCCUGCUUGUUAGUAUGCCCAGACCCAUAUUUGUUUUGAUAAUUAUAUGACUACUAAUUACUAUUAAUUUUUUCAUUUUAAUGGUAAAAAAUAUCAGAGAAACCAUGUCUCGGUGUAAUUUGCAAUUCUAAGUGUCAUCUUCUGUAUGUUUUUGCUUAGAAACGAGGUCAGUUGAGCCUUUGAGGGCUCUGGAUCUUGGGUCACUGUAGAACUUGACGAGUUGAGUUCAGUUGUCUUAAGUUGUCUGGAAGAUUAGGCUUUUAAUUGAGCUGAGCUUUUGUUUUGGCAAACAGUUCUAAUGGAGUGUAAUGAACUUCAACACGCUAUCGUAGUAUAGUAUACUUUUUCAAUAAGCCUGAGCUCUCUCCCCGAAGGACAGCUUAGGCAUUGUCUUUCCUUCGUCUUACAAACAAAAAAGAACGGAUCGGGUCCAACAAUAACUAUUUUGUUGUACCCAUCGCAAUCGAGGGACAACGACAAUACAUACACUCAAGUCAAAAAAAGAAGGGGCCAAUAAAAUCGAUUUUUUUAAUUCUUUACUUGAAAAGGUCAAAAGAAGACGACAGGCUCGCUAGCUAGCUAGUCGUAAAAUUCAUACACUCAGGACAACGACAAUACAUACACUCAAGUCAAAAAAAAAAGAAGGGCCCAAUAAAAUCGGUUUUCUUAAUUUUUUACUUGAAAAGGUCAAAAGAAGUAGGAUUGGCAGAAAAAUUCGAACCGGCCCGAUCCAGUCCAGGCCCGCGGGCUUUAAACUCAGUCCGUGGCUUUAAAUGAUAGAUAAAGACCUCUAAUUUGUAAAGUCCAUAUGCAAUGGGCUUAGACAAGGGCUUUCUUUAAAAGCCCAGGCUUAAGCCCAAACUUUAUAAUAAAUAAUAGGAAAAAUGACAAACACACUCCCAACGUUUAGACAAAGGGACAAAAACUCUCCUAACGUUUCAAAAGAAAUAUUUACAUCCUCAUUCACUAACGGAAACAGUAACUUUUAACAAAAAUUAUCAUUAUACCCUUCUAGCAUAUAAAAAAAAAUUAUUGAUUAUCCAAUUUGUCCAUAUAUUAUUAAUAAAAUUAUAAAUAUAUCCUCAUUACCCAAUUCCUCUAUUUAAAUUUUUAUCAAAUUUUCUCUUCAAGUCAAAUAAAUUUAAUUCAUUACUCAAGAAUAAAAAUAAAUAAAAUUGGUUAUUAAUGUUAACUUGUAUUUCAAUUAAUACCAUAAUAAAUAACAUAAAAAAUUAGUUAUAAAUAUACAAGUUUAAAUGAUAACAUGUGGAAAAUUGUUAAAUAUACAAGUUUAAAAUUUAAAUAAAAUUUUAUAGUAUUAAUAUUACAAGUUAAACUUGUAUAUAUAUUUUUUAUAUGCUAGAGGAGUAUAACGGUAAUUUUCCUUAAAAAUUACUGUUUUCGUUAGUGAAUGAGGGUGUAAAUAUCUUUUUAAAAACGUUAGGGUUUUUUGUCACUUUGUCUAAACAUUGGGGGGUGUGUUUGUCAUUUUUCCUAAAUAAUAUAUAUAUAUUUUAAAGAAAAAUCUUUAUAAUAUAUCAUAAAAUUCAAAUUAAAAAAAGCUGAAAAAAUAAAAAAUAAAAACGAAAAAGAAAAAGUGAAUCAAACAAAACAAUUCGUUAGUUUUGAACAAAACCCAAACUCUCAAAGUCAAAAUCCCUAAUUCCCUCGUUUUCUCCCUCCCUCACUCACCGUCACCUCAACUUCUCACUGUUCUCGCCGCCGGCAGUCAACGGCGGGGCCAACAGCAUCCAGCAGUGAGCGACGAGCAUCCACCACCAGCACUCCAGCAGCCACCACUCAGCCAGCAGCAGCGGCGAGCAUCUCCCGCCAUCCCGCGCAACCCACCGUCCAGCUCCAGCCACCCAGCAUCUCUCGCGCGACGCAGCAGCAACCCCCACCCACCAGCACAGCCGCGCGACGCUGCAGCAAGCACUUGAACUCGAGCGAGGCAGCAGCAGCGAUUUGCAGUCUGUAGUACGCGAAUUCAAACGACACAAGUAGCGAGGUAGCAAACCAUCCAACUCCGGUCCGGUACUCCUCCUCAAUAGCUUCAAACUUUUUUUAUUGUAUUAUCAAUACAAUAUUAUGUAAUAUGAGGACAUCACCAGAAUGACGAGUUUAAGAACACGGGUUUGUUUAUUUUUCUGUUAGAAUUUUGUUUGGCUUUAAAUUUUUAGCUUUUGGUGGUUAUGUCUUUAGAAUUUUCUUGUCUCUGAAAACCUAAGUAGCCUGUGCUUCUUUAUGUACAGGGAGAGAAAGAAAAAAAGAAAGGAAAAAAGGGAUGGGGGGUACAAGUAAAGAUCUUUUGCACUUAGAGCACAAGGAUUCUUCGGCUUCAGCUAUAGGUACACGUUUGUACUCUCUUUUCCUAUAUAUGUGUAUCUUGCAAGCUCUGUUGUUCAACGGUUGUGUUUAUAUUUGCAGAAUCUGCACUUCUUGUUUGUAGCAAGAAAGACACGAACGCUGAGUUAAAGAAACCAAACCCCGGUAAAAUGCCCAGCUACGGACCAGUUCCUAGAAGCCAAGGUAUUCUGAAUUUCUAUGUGUUCUGGAAGUACUCUCCCUACAAAAUACUGGCUUCUGGUUGAUAAUUUGUCAUGGGUGUUGCUUCUCUGUGAAAUUGGUUCAUGUGCACUCUGUUUCCGUAGUUAGAUUAUUGCAAAGAUCUUGUUUGAGUGAUCAAUUAUGAAAUUCUCAAAGGAGAAAGAAGUUUCAAAAUUAUUGUUCUGUAAAUUGUUGUAUUAAAGAGUUUCAGAAACCCUUAUUAGAGAAUCUUUUUGUUUCCAAAGUUGUUUCUGGAACUUGGAAUAUCUUUAUCAAAGUUGUUUCUAGAGCUUGGAAUAUCUUUAUCAAGUUUAUGUCAAGGAAUUUUCUCAGGUAUGUAGAGUCAUAUACAUUUUGUAGGUAUUUGAUAGUGUCCGAUAAUCUGUCUCUCUCAUUUUUCAGUUUUGGGAAAAGUUAAAGGUUUUUUGGGAGUCAUAUCAGAGGCUAAUAAAAGGCUCCAACUUGAUGCAAAGGUUUGUCAGCUGAUCUUAUUACUAAAUCCAUACCAUUUAUCUUGAUCCAAACCUUUCUCUCUUAAUCACUAACGUGUGCCUCCUUUGACCAAAUGUAGGAUAAUGCUCAAGAUUAUGAUAUGGAAGCGCUUACCGGAAACGAAUCUGAAGUUAUUGAAAUGGUAAGUGAAGGUCUCUCCCUCUUUGGUCUCUCCCCCUGUCUGUGUUCAUACUUAUAUUGUGGCAGCUGGUCCAUUAACAACUUCAGUUGCAUCUUAAUGAUAGGAUUUAAUGCUGGGGAUAGCUGAUCUGCAUACUCCUGAGGCGGUCAGUGCUGCUGAAUCUGCAAUCGCUGGUAAUCAGCCAGCGAUUCCUUUGCCUGCAAGCAGUAGUGAAACAGAAACUGAAGAUAGUAGUGAUGACAGUGAUGAUGACGUCGAGGAUAAUAAAACAUUGGAUCCCAUGAAUCUGAAAAGAUCCGAGACAAACAAGGAUGAUUCAUUGAGUGAAUCUGCAGGAAACAAGAAAUCUAAAAAGCGGCCAAAAAUUGUUGAGCUCUCAUGAGCAUGUUAUUUGUAUGAGUUAGCUUUGUUGUGUAUUAGUGAUUUGCGUGUUGUUGUUGUGUCUUGAUUAUGAAAAAGACAACAUCCUUGGUUGACUAUUUAAUUUUCAUAACCAGUUGAUAUAUAAAGUUUUGUUUUGUUUUCUUUUUCCUCUAUUAUCUUUGUGUAUUGAACACUGAGUGCACAAUUUCGAAAACAGGUAUCUUAUUUUGGUUUCUUUUUUUUUUAUAUGUGAGCCUAUUGAUGGAGAGGCCAUUGAGCUCGGAACAGCGCAAUUCAGAGGGGAGAAUUUGCAACGGGUUUUUUUGGUUUGCAUCAAGCUGAACAUAUAUAUCAGUGACACAAAUCAAUUUUGUCCAAAAAAUUAAGUUGAUUUUGAGUUUGAAUUUUUUUGACUCCAAUCCAACUGAGUAUAAUAAAAAUGGAUUUGAGGUCAAGAAAUUACAUGUGUGCAAAAAAAAAAGGGAAAAAACUUUACAAAUGGAUGUUUAACAUAUCACUGCUCAUGUGUCAGUGACUGGUGAAUUGACCCAGCCUUUUCACUGGCAAGAGAUUCUUGACAAAAUAUUUUUGGGAAGAAAUUAUUCUUUUGUUUGGUAAGCACCGGCUGGACACUUUUGGAGCUUUGUUUUGUUUGUAUCUGUAUCAUUUAUAAUUUUAUUUGAAUUUAAUCUUAGCUACCCCUAGUUUUGGCUCCCAUGGUUUUGAAAAUUUUGAGACUUAAAGGACUCCUAAUUCAGACCCCACAUAUUACCAAUCAAACAUUUGCUUGAAAAAUGCAGUGUUUUGACUUGGAGACUCAACAAUCCAAUACAAAUCAUUCGAUAACCUAAGUUGCACAAACUGUCUUAAUGAUGAUGAUUACAUAAUAUCUUCAAUCCUAGAGUCUUGAUCAAACAAUGAUUAUGCCUUCGUUUGUAAUCUUAUUCACCCUAUCACAUCCCUUCAGGAAGUUAAAAAAAAAUUAUAGGUCCAUAAUGUAUUUUGGCCAAUUGCUAAAAGCCAAGAUGUGUUUCAGCAGCUUAUUAUUAUAAGUUAUUACAACUCAAGCCUAUAAAAGGCGCCAAGUUCAAGUGACAAAUCAAAUCAAACACGCAAACACAAAAUCUAUACAGUUCAUAUUAUCUUACAAUUCAUCAAGUUGUGAAAAUGGUUGCAUUGGGAGCAGUAAUUGCUACUCUGUUAGGAUUUGCCUUGUUCUACGGUUUAAAAGGAAAGAAGAAGAGCAUAGAUUCUUCAAUGAAGAGCUCAGAAAACAGAACAUGCAAAUCAGAUUCAGGCAAAAGCACGGAUAUAAUCAUUGUUGGUGCUGGCGUUGCAGGCUCAGCUCUUGCUUACACUCUUGGCAAGGUGAUAAAAGGAAUCAAAACAUAUCAUUUGCAUUGCUGUCUGUUUCUGAGUAUGUUCUGUAAACUUUUUUAUCUGGGAAUUUUUUUUUUCAGGAUGGACGCCGCGUUCAUGUGAUUGAAAGAGACUUACGCCAGCCUGACAGAAUUGUUGGAGAGCUGCUGCAACCUGGUGGAUAUCUAAAGCUAGUAGAGUUGGGUCUAGAAGGCAAGCUCUGACAAUUUGAAUCUUGUUCUUCCAUUUUCAUCGGCAUAGAUCCAUCUUGUAACUUAUAAACAUGUGGCUGCAGAUUGCGUCAGUGACAUUGAUGCUCAGAAUGUGUACGGAUAUGCUCUUUACAAAGGUGGGAAAAGUACUAAACUUUCAUAUCCAUUGGGAAGUUUUAAUUCAAAUGUGGCUGGGAGAAGCUUUCACCAUGGGCGAUUUGUACAAAGAAUGAGAGAAAAGGCUGCUUCUCUUCCCAAGUACGGCUUUCUUUCGUUCAUAUUUGUUCAUUUUGAUUCAUUUCAUAAUUUGAAACAAUUUUUUUUUUAUAAAUUAUUGCAUGUUCUGUCCAAUCUUAUGUUUAGUGUAAGGAUGGAACAAGGAACAGUGACAUCUCUUCUUGAACGCAAUGGAACCAUCAAAGGAGUUGAAUACAAAACCAAGACUGGUGAAAAGCAUACGGCCUAUGCUCCCCUCACUGUAGUAUGCGAUGGUUGCUGUUCAAAUUUGCGCCGCAAUCUCUGCAAUCCUAAGGUGAAGAUGCUGUGUUAAUCUUGUCAAAUGAAGAUAGUAAAUCAUAGAUCUCGCCAAUUUCUUAUAAGGAUUUUUUUCCGAAAGUUACAAUUUAACUUGUGAUUAUAAUUCUGCAGGUUGAGAUCCCCUCUUGUUUCGUGGGCUUGGCCUUGGAGAAUUGUAAGCUUCCAUUUGCAAAUCAUGGGCACGUUGUUCUGGCAGAACCUUCACCUAUCUUGUUUUAUCCUAUCAGUAGCACCGAGAUUCGCUGUUUGGUUGAUAUUCCUGGCCAAAAAGUACCUUCCGUUUCCAACGGUGAAAUGGCUCAAUAUUUGAAAACUGUUAUCGCUCCCCAGGUACAUUUCUUUUGCAAGUAAUUUGUGUAGGAGUUACUUGAAAUAUGUUGUCCUUUCAAAACAUGAAUUGCUACUUCAUUUUAGACUAAUUGAGGAACUAAUGUUUCAGAUUCCCCAUGAGCUGCAAACUGCUUUUAUAUCAGCAACUGAAAAAGGAAACAUGAGAACAAUGCCAAAUAGAAGCAUGCCAGCAGCUCCAUAUCCAACUCCAGGUGCGCUUCUGAUGGGAGAUGCAUUUAACAUGAGGCAUCCUUUAACCGGAGGUGGAAUGACAGUAGCCUUAUCUGAUGUCAUUCUACUCAGAGAUCUCCUCAGACCCCUGCGUUCUUUAGACAAUGCAUAUUCCCUUUGCAAAAAUUUUGAAUCCUUUUACACACUGCGCAAGGUAAAUAUGCACCAUUCAUAAUGCUCUUUACUUGCAGCACACUCAAGCUGCUGCUAGCUUAAAAUAUUAGCGUCCAAUUCUGUGCUUGCAGCCCGUGGCAUCUACAAUAAACACAUUAGCAGGCGCAUUAUACAAAGUUUUCUCCGCAUCUUCAGAUCCUGCAAGGGAGGAAAUGCGGCAAGCAUGCUUUGAUUACUUGAGGCUUGGAGGUGUUUUCUCAAGUGGACCAAUAUCAAUACUCUCGGGGCUAAACCCCCGGCCAUUGGGCUUGGUUCUGCAUUUUUUUGCAGUGGCAGUUUAUGGCGUUGGACGCUUAUUGAUUCCAUUUCCAUCUCCCAAACGUUUGUGGAUUGGGGCUAGAUUGAUUUCUGUGAGUAUCUUCACUUCAUUUUGUCAUUCCAAGAUUUUAGCCGAUCAGUUUGGCCACAUGACGCGUGUGACAAGAGAAUAUUGCAUUUGUAUUGGUCAUGGAUUGAUAUCUAACACACGAUGUGUAAGAUAACUGGGCAUAUAGCUAAUGGUUAAAAGUCAUAAGAUCGGAUUCUAAAACUUUGUUUCAAAAUUCGCAUUGAAUCAUAUAUUUAUCUUUGGUUAAUUUUGUUUGUUAUUUUGCAGGAUGCUUCUGGAAUUAUUUUCCCCAUAAUAAAAGCUGAAGGAAUUACACAAAUGUUCUUCCCUGUUGCUGUGCCUGCAUACUACAGAGCUCCUCCUGUUAAGUGAGAAUAUGAAAACAAGAAAUUCAAGAAAAUUUUUGGGGAAGAAAUCUAGACAUGUUGCAAGUUCUUUAUUUAUUGAUGGGAAAAGGACAUUCAACCCCCCAACGUUUAGGAAAAGGGACAAAAAACCCAUCAACGUUUUAAAAAGGACUUAUAACCCCCUUUCUGUUAACAAACACCGUUUGUUUUAACAGUAAAUUUAUUUUUAAUUUUUAAUUACUAUUAUACCCUUAUAAUAAAUAAAUUAAUAUAUUAAUUUGAGAUAUAUCACAAUUAAUAAUUUUUUAAAAGCUUAAAAUUGAGAUACAAUUAUUUUUUUAUCUCUCACUAUAAGUGUCGCCGUCAAGUCAAUAUAGUGUAAUGGUUUUGAUUCCUCAAAGAAAAAGGGUUUAAUCAAAUUUCGUUUUAUUAGUAAUAAUCACAUAUGAAAGGUUUGAUCAUUAGAAAGGUAUAAUUUAUAGCAAAUCAUUUGGGCAAAAAUUUAAUUGUAUCUCAAUUUUUAGUUUUAAAAAAUUAUUAAUUGUGAUAUAUCUCAAAUUAAUAUAUUAAUUAAUUUAUUAUAAGGGUAUAAUAGUAAUUAAAAAUUAAAAAUAAAUUUACUGUUAAAACAAAUGGUGUUUGUUAACGGAAAGGAGGUUAUAAAUCCUUUUUGAAACGUUGAGGGGUUUUUUGUCCCUUUUCCUAAACGUUGGGGGGUUGAAUGUCCUUUUCCCUUUAUUGAUUAAUUUAUAUUGUUUUGGCAUAAUUAAACCAGUCUUUAAGCAGGGAGUUCCUCUCUCACCAAAAUUGGUGGCAGAGCAAGCAAAUCUGCUUGAAGCAAAUUGUAUCAGUAGAUAACAAUUUCAAAGAAUUAAACUUUAUUUUAUUAAUUUUAUUCCAAAAUUUGCGGGGUAGCAUAACAAGGGUCACAAACAUAUACAUAUACCUGCACAUACGUAAUUGCGCUUGUGGGUAUGUAAUAGUGCGAGCGGCCAUUAAAGCAUCUUGCCUAGGCAAUAGAUAUAUAGACGGAAAGAGAACAAGAUACAGAUAAAAAGAGAAAAUUCUAUGCAUCACUCAUUUAUUGCUGCGUAUGGAAGUGAAAUCCCAUGCAUUGGUGGAAAGUGAAAAUAGAUCACACUGCUUGAUUUUAUUGUUUUUAGAUAUCCGCCUACACAUAACUUAUUCAUGACAAAACACUAAGCCCUCCAAGCUCGUAGUUGCAUGGACGAUUUAGCAAAGUUUUAAUAUAUAUAAUUAGGAAAAAAUGACCGAAGCACGUCCUUUGUUUAAUGAAAUUAACUUUUGCCUUUAAAGCCCACUAGAAUCCCAUAUUUUUAUAACUGGCAACAUUAAUUAAACAGUCACCUUUGAAGGACAAUUCGAUUAUACAAUAAUAAAUCCGACUUAAACAGCUAGGGCCGCGUUUCUCGGUUAAUCAAGAUUAACCUAUUUUAUAGCAUCAUUAUUUUAUUUAUAAAACUUCUAAGGCAUGUGGGGUACUUAGGGCUCUAAAUAUUAUCAUUGUUGGGCGAAACGUAGAUGUUGAGUAUUACACCUCUAAUAGCUGCGGAAGUGGUUUGAAGUGCAGACACUACACACAAGUUGUGUGGUGCAAUUCUGUGCGUUUAGGUUGUGCUCGAAUUGCCACUUCGGCCUUGGCCGAAGUGGUGGGCUGCUGCCCUCACAAGGCUUGUGAGGGCAGCGGUUCUAGCCCCACAAAAGCAUUGUGGGGGCUAAAUAUUCUUAAUAUGUAAAAAUCAUUCUCCCUUGCGAAAUGCGAGUGGAGUAUAGACAUCCCUCCUCUGUGAGAGAUUAUUUGUCUGGGCAUGUACUUCACAGAAUUCAAUGUAAUAAUGUAAGUCUCAAUCAUGUAUAUCUGAUUGUAAUUAUCAGUGUAAUAUAUCUGCUAUAAUAGUAGUUGUUGUAAAUAUCUGUAUAAUGCAGUAAUCUGAUGUUUAAUCAAUAUUAAAAAAAAAAAAGGUUGUGCUUGAAUUAGGUGCAAAAACGGUGGAACCUUUGUCAUCUAUAGCUACGAUCCCCGAGGCAACUAUGAUAAUACAUAACCUUACUAAUUGAUCAAAACUCUCUAUCUUGUCAGGCAAAAUUAACUAUAAUCUUUUGCUUUCUAAAACCAACUAGAACCACUAUAUUGUUAAUAGACUCACUGAACUUACUUUAACGUUUAUACUUAUGCUUGAUUCUAUUAUUUUCUUUCUUUUAAAUAGCUUUGACGUAAAGGUAAAAAUUAUUGCAACCCAAUAAAUUAAAAUGAAGAUACAUCAAACAAAAUGAAGAAAAAAGAUUUCGUCAAUGGUACAAUGAAAUUGUUAGAGCAUACCUAAAAAUUGAAAUGAGGAUUUGUUCACCACUCAACCGGCAAUGAGUUGUUUUCUAAUUAAUUUGUAUUAAGCUAAAAAAUUGAAGAGAUUUAAUAAUCUAAAUAACUUUAAAAGAGAAAUGUACCGCUUAUUUAUUGCUGUAAAUGGAAGUGGGCUCCCGUACAACGUAAAAAAGAUCACGUAACUUGAUUUUAUUUUUUAUGGAUAUCUACCAACACACGACUAAAACAUUAUAAAACACAAAUCCCUCUAAUCUCGUACUUGCUUGGAGGAUUUAGGAAAGCUGUUUUUAUCAAUUAGAAAGGUCGUUCACCAGCAGCGUUGCCUGGAGGAUCAUAGUUGCAGAUGGCAAUGAAUUGAUGAUUAUUGUUACACCGCUCUUUAGCACAACCCAAACGCACAGAUUUGCGCCACACAACUUGAGUAAAGUGUCCGCCCAUCUGAUUAGGAGCACAACUAUUAGAGUUGUGGUCGUAAAAUUGUUUCUCAUCCACCCACAUCUUCAGGAUGUGAUCGACGGUAAAGUCGUAGUCAGCCCAUGCAAGGUUCUCGCCGUAAUGGCUAACUGAAUGUUCAAUUAUGCAGUCAACUUUAAGUUUUUGUGCAUAGCUAUGUGCAUGAUCCUCCAACGUCUUGUCCCAUGUCAUGCCUAUGCCAAUGCCAACAUUACGACGAGCUUCAUUAUGAAGGUGGACGUACCGUUGCUGAGUUGCAUUGUUGGCUGAGGAGAGAUGGAUUCUUGCAGCUAGGACUACGAGAUGGAAAAUUGCUAGUGAAUUAAUGGGUGACAUUACUUGUGGGGUCGAUUUAGCUUAUUUGAUAGAAUUAUAGGAAGGAGAGAAAGCUUGUUAGAUAGGUUAGGGAUGAAAAACUUUUGCUUAUGUACAAGUAGUUUAUAUAGGGAAUGGUGUGGGAAAUCAUUCAAGAAUCGAAUGGUCGAAAAUUUCUUCAAAAGUAAUUUCUAAUUAUGCAAUAUAUAUAUAAUAAAAAUAGCUCUACUUAAUUAAAUCUAAUUUUAAAAUAAUUAGAUUUUUGUUUGAAAUCUUAUAUAAACCAUAAAUGUCUAAGUACAACAUAUGAGAGCCUAAAUUUAUAUCAAAGUUGACACCACGUCGAAUAUUUAUUAAAGAAUAAAUCAUGUGCACAUAUGAUCGGUAUAACUGCGGUGACUUCCUAACUGUUGUUACAGACAAGGUAAUCGGGAGUGAGUUACUAACUGUGCAGGGCAUGAUACGGUAAUCCACUUUGCAUGUAUAUAUAUCAUGAUAGAUUAUCAUGGAUGGCAGUUGCAAAAGUGAUAAAUUAUUACAAUCCUACUAAAAAACUAAAAUUAAAUAGGCAUAUAAGUUCAUGAUCCUCAUGGAAACCCUUUUCUUGCAAGUUAAUUUUUGACAGUGGGUAUGAUGGACCCUCAAGCCAUAGAUUUUUUUUUUUCAUAUAAUACCAUUUUAAAAGUUUACAAUAUUAUAAAUUUCAUCCUCAAAAUUACACAUAUUUACAUUUUGGCCCUCAUUAAUAGUCAUUUCUUUAAAAGAGAAAACAGAAUAUGAGUAUUAUGUCUCUCAUAAAUUUAACCUUUAAAAUUUUCUUUAUUAUACUUUGACCCUAUUGGUUUUUCUUUAAAAUAAAUUAGCCACUGUAUCAAAGCUUGUGGUUCUGCUACUGGUUCUACCGAAAAACCAAAUUUUGCUCAAAGUUAUGAUUGGUAACCAAAUAAUCAAUUUAUUUAUUAAUUUAUGGUAAAAAUUUCUAAAUGUAUAAGCUCCGUGUGAAAAAUCCAUCUUAUCUUAUAGCCGAGAUUUGAAACCCCCCCGGGGGGCCCCAACCCCAAAAAAAAAAAAAACUACUUGGAAAGUCUUACCAGUAGCUCCACGGCAAGUUUCAUGUUCCUAAAUGUUUUGAUUUUUUUUUUUUUCCUCUCACAUUCACUCUCUACAUUUUCAUGCACAACAAAAUUAAAGAAUUUUCCCAUUCAAGGUCUAAUCAGGGAAAAUUAAUCUAUUAAUAUCUUGCAUCCAUGGUAGUUAGGUAAAUCAUAAUUUGACAAUCAAAAGAGAAAUUAUAUGUUCAAUUUAUUUUUUUAUUACUUGCGUAAAUGGAAGCGAACACAUAGCUUGAUUUUAUUGUUUUCGGAUAUCUGCCAACGGCAUGACUUAUUCAUGCAUAGCCCUCUGGUCUCAUAUAUAGAAGAAAGUUUCUUUAUGAUCCACUAGUAAGGACGUUGACCAAAAACAUUGCCUCGGGGAUCGUAGUUGCAAAUGACAAAGUUGAGAAUGCCAUUGUUAUUGCACCUCUCUUUAGCACAACCUAAACGCACAGAAUUGCGCCACACAACUUGAGUAUAGAUUGCGCAUUUCGUACCAUUAAGAGCACAAAUAUUAGAGUUGUAGUCGUAUAAUAUUAAUGGCUUCCCAUCCAUAUACAUCUUCACGAACUCGGCGGCGGUAAUCUCGCCCUGGCUGCUCCAUGCAAUUGUCUCGCUGUAUUUGCUAACUUGUGGUUUCUUUAAAUUGCAGUUACCCUUUAGUUUUUAUUCAUGUUUAUGUGAAUAAUCCGCCAAUUUGUAGUCCCAUGACAUCGGGCCAACGCCAACACUAGCACGAGCCUCGUUGUGAGCUUUGAGGUAGUCUUCAGGUUUAUUGUGGGCAGAGGAGAGAUGGAUUGUAGCUAGGGCCAAGAGGCAAAAAAUUGCUGGUGAAGUUCUUGGCAUUGUGGUGAUUACUGUUUUAAUUUCGCUUAUCCGAUGGAAAUGGGAAAGAAAGAGCUUAGGUAAUGAGUGGAACUGCUUGCUUGUGUAUAAGAGGUUUAUAUGGGGAAUGGUGUGAAAAUCAUUCAGGAAUUGUAUGGUCGAAAAUUUUUCAAACGAAAUUUCUAACAAUACAAGAUAAAUAAAACUUAGUGGCACUUUGGUAAGGGUAAAUUCCCCUUUAAUUUUCAGGGUUUAGGCUAAUUACUAAUUUAUUUUAUGUAUCUUUUAAUUAUAAUUAUUCAAAAUACUCAUUUCUUUUCUUUAAUAGGUGUUAAAUUAACUUCUUAAGCAUAUGUAAUAUUUUUGUCUAAUAUAAUUUGAAAUUCUAAUAAGUUAGACAUAUAACAGUUAGCAAAUAGAGAGAAGUGAGGUAGAUAUAUUUUAAUGAAAACAAAGUUAUAGGGAUCUUUUUGAUAAGUUUUAUAAAUAUAGGGACUAACUGAAUAAUUGACUCAAAUUAUAAGGAUUAAAGGAGCAUCUCAUCAAUCAAGCCCCUUGAGAUCACACAAAAAUUUUUUAUUAUAUGUAAUUUACCCGUAUUAGUUAUUAUUUACCAUAAGGGGAAGGAUAAUUAAGCCCCUUAAUAAUAAAUUACAUAAGUUUAUACAGCAAUUUUAGAUUUUGAGAUUAGAAUACUUUGAGUGGUUGAGAUUCAUAAAUAGAUUGAUGGCAUAUGUUAAAGAAUUAUAUGCAUCACUGAUUUAUUGCUGUAAAUGGAAGUGAUCUCGCCUGUAGUGUAAAAAUUAUCACACAACAUGUUUUAUUAUCUUCUUAUACCUACCAAUACAUGGCUUAUUCAUCAUAAAACACAAAUCCCUUUUUGCUCAUACUUGCUUAGAGGAUUUAGGUAAGUCCUUUAUAUAUAUGUAUUAAUUAGUAAGGCCGUUUACCAGCAACAUUGCCUGGAGGAUCAUAGCUGCAAAUGACGAACGUGCCACGAUUGUUGUUGCACUUCACUCUAGCACAACCUAAACGCACAGAAUUGCGCCACACAACUUGAGUAUAGUGUCUACACUCCCCACCAACACAAGUAUUUGAGUUGUAAUUGUACUUUGGUCUCUCAUCCACCCAGAGCUUCACGGCCGCCGUACCAGUGAGGUCACCGCUGCUCCAUGCUAAGUUCUCGCCGUAUGGUCCACCGGAGUGCACCAAUCUGCAGUCACCUUUACGUUGAUUGGCAUAGUUUUUAGCGUAAGCCGCUACCUUGUUGUCCCAUCUCAUCGGUCCAACGCGGACGCUAGCACGAGCUUCAUUGUGAGCUCUGAGAUAGUCUUGUUGUGAAUUUUGGGCAGAGGACAAUUGGGUUGUAACUAGGGCCACAAGACAUAAAAUUGCUAGUGAAAUGUUAGACAUUACGUUGUGACUUAAUUAAUGAGAAAGCUUAGCUGCUUAGGUUAUGAAUGAAAAAUUUUGCUCAUGUAUAGAGGUUUAUAUAAGGAAAUGAUGUGGAAAACUUAUUAGUUCAAGACUCGUAUAUGGUGGGAUAUUCAAAAGGAAAAAAUUGAAGAUAAAAUUUGCGGCGCCUUAACUAAUAAAAUUGACUGAGUCUAGUAUUUGGACAAAUUAAUUAAGCUCUUAUUGUUACUUUCUUAAUGAAUGAAUUUAUUAUCCCCGCAUGAUUACACGUAGUAGAUUUUCCACUUUUUCGUCUGGAAAAAUUGGAGCGUAUUCAGGACAAAUGCUUGUUAUUUAAAAACAAUUGUUAGACCAAAAAACCAACUAAAUCUUACUUAUCAAAUUAUUUAAUUUUUAAAUUAUUCUCUUAUAAUUAAGUACAAGACACUUUAUCUUUUACUUCUAAGAAUGCCAUAUCUUCUUCCUAAUUAAAAUUCCGAAACUGACGUGAACCGAUCCUAGUCAACACGGAAACUGAUUAAUAAACCAGAUUCAAAUGCCUUUAAAAUCAGCUUGUUCAAUUAUAUUCAAUAAAUAACUGACAUGAUUUUGGAAAAUGUCUAUUAUAUAUGGAUUUGGAUCCUUUCGUAACCUAAUUUUUUCCUUGAGCACGUGGCAUUUAGAAUUUAAAUUAUAAGGUUAAGAUUAAAUUGAUUACAAAUAAAUGAUCUCUUUAGGAAUACUCUAAUAGUCUAAUACUUCAGGAAAAUUAAUUAGACAUGGUCAUAAACCAGCAGAAUCACAUCUCUAGAUGGAAUAAUGCUAAUGGUUAGAAACUAACUUAAAAGACAACAACGUUAAUCUCAGAAUAUGUAUUAAUUUAUUAUUCUCCUGAGACGAUGAGGUAACGGUGGAUUGAAUUGCUUGUUGCGUCCGGAUUUGAAAAAAAAUAUGAAAUUAAAAAAAAUAAGAAAGGAAUGGAUGAGUGAUUAGACCCGUAAGUUAUAUUGAAUGGACUUUAUCCUUAUACAAGGCAUGAAUCAUUAAAAGAUAAAGAAGAUGAAUAGUGUUUUGACGAUUUUUCCUGAUAGAGGGAGAUUCUUUAGUACAAAUCACAUGAAACUUUUCAAUAAAUCACAUGAGAAUAAGUUUACGCAUAGUAAAAAUUAAUUAGGUAAAUGAAUAAAAACUGUGUGAGGAUUUUAAAAUUUUUCUUGAUAAAAUAUGUUAACUAGUAUUGGAUUAGAAAAUUAGAAUAUACAUUUCAUAAUCAUUAGUUGGAGAGAGUCUUUGUUGCUCCUAGAGCACUGAUACUUGUCUAUCCAUUACUUGGCACGUGUGUAUAAAUUUUUUUCAUGAUUGUUUAUAGUAUAGGCAUAACAAAAAGUGUAUGUUGUUCCUAGAGCACUGUGAUAUUUAUCUAUGAAUUACUUAUAAUGUGUUUAUCAAUAUUUUUAAUGAUUGGGUUAAAGUAGUGCUCUCUGGAGUACCUAAGUACCAAAGACUUUAACUUCUCCACUAGCUGUGAUACCAUAGUAAGUUUUCCAUUUUCGUAUUACGUGUAAAUUUUAACUAAUAUAUUAAUAAAAAUAAAUAAAUAAACUGUUUAUGUUAUGUAACUGACAAUGGGCAAAGUGUAUAGUGUUAACAUUUGUAAGAUAACGGGUGCAAAAUUAAACUGCUGAGGAAGGAGGUAACAUUUGUAAGAAGUCGGAAAAAUAAUUACAUAAAGUUGGCUAAAUUUCUAUCAAUCCCUUAUCGUUUCUGAAUUUUUUUGUCCCACCCCUGGUUUUGGUCUGGACUCUGGUAUCGAUUCAUUAAUUUGCAAGGGAAUGAAGCUGCUUAUAAGUACAUAUUUUUGAGGCGCAAAUUAAGGAAAAAUGCACAUAGUCUUAUAAUUAGUUACUCUAGUUUAUGAUUAAUUAGUUACUCUUCACUGGGAUCUAUGUAGGAAACAGUUUUUUUGUUCAAUGGAGUAAUAAAAAUAGAAAAAUUGAGAGGGCCAAGCCAGCAAUGAGGACGAAAUAGUGAUUUAAUAAACUCGAGUAUGCAAUAACAUAAAAAUCACAUAUACUAGAAGCUCUAGCAUGAGGUUAUUAUUUGUUGGCUUCAGACAAUGUUAUUUUGUUACUGAAAGAGAUGCAAGGCCUUUCCAUGAUUGGUCAAAAUACGAUUUUGGAUGCUUGAUUGGUCAAAAUACGACUGAUAUCUUUGCUUACUCGUUUAUAUGGGAUUAUUUUCGAUUCUUUUUGGGUUCAAAAUAUUUUGGUAAGUUUUGGCUGUACAGGCAUAGUAAUUCAAGUUCUUUUUUUUUUUUUUUUGGUUGAAGAAAGUUGACUCCAUGAAACGUUACUUUUCUGUGGGCCAAAUUGCGGAGUUCAAUUCUUGGUGGAUAAGGUAUUUUCUUCAGAAAAGCUUGGAAGAGAAUGAAUAGCUGCGAAGAAGUUUGAACAGGCUUCAGUUAAGCGAUCUUAUAAGCCGGCUUGUCAAGUUUUCCACUUGAAGUCAUAUCACUGAGAAUCUCAGCAACAUAUGCUCUCUUAUUGAAAUUACACAUUUGGAAACCAUGCUAGCAAGCAUAUACCCGAAGGGCAAGUAAUGUUGUGUACCAAUCGUGAGACAUUAAAUCCUUCAUCCAAAUAUUUAUCAAGGGAGUGAGUUCCCAAGAAAUGCCUUCCCGCCUUUAUGUGUUCUUUAGAUUUUGGUUUGCUUCUAAUCUUCUUGUUUGUUAUAGGUGUUGGGAAAAUAUGUCCUUUAAAAGUAUAUGUGUUUAUUUAAUUGUAAUAAAUAAUUUUUCUUAUUAAUAAAAUAAAUGAGGUAUUUUAUUCAAGUAUCUUAAUUGCAUUAAUAUUUUGAGUAAAUUCCAUUUAAUCAUAUUAUAUGUAUUUAUGUGACCACCAUAUGAAUUCACAGAAGACAUAAAUACAAGUUAUCUUAUGAUUAAAUAAAUUAAGUUCGCAGUUGAUAAAUAAAAUUAUUUAGGUAUAGACUGUAAUAAAUUCAUUAAAUGAUGUGUAUUAAUCAUGUAUGAAUUUAUUGAUGUAGUACGACUACAUUGAACAAGAUCACAUAUGAGAUUUAAUUAACUUUGUAAUAACUGUCAGACUUAUUAAAUCUCAUAGGUAUUGAUUUUACUGUAAUCUUAAUCUUGAGUUAGUUAUGAUUUCAUGAUUGUAAUUUUUAUUCUAUUUGAGUUACCAAUGGGCACGACACACACUUGUACUCAAAAUUACAUGAUAUCUUGGUGGGAGCAAUUAUGAGUAUUGGAGUUAUAGAUUGACAAUAUAGAAUUUUUACAACACAUUUCUUGAUGGGUUGUAAAGAACUUGAUCAUAUAAUUCUCUGGUCAGAGUGUGUCAACAUAUUUAGUAUGUUGAAAAUGAUAAUUAGAGAAAACCAGCAAGAAUCAAGGAAAAUAUGUAAUUAAAUUGAUUGGACAGUUGAGAUAUCGAUUUAAUUAACGAUGUGGUACAAAGGAUUAUGCAGUAAAGAAAUCAAUGUGAUAUGGGUUGAAUUAUUAUUCGAAAAUACUAUCCUAGAUAGCAUACAAUUAUAGAGGUCAAUUUCAAUGUUUUAGUGGAGUAUAUUUGGAAUUAAAUAAUUGUGUUAGUUUGAUUACAUGUCUAAUUAUUAUAGCCACUAUUGUAUGUACCCAUCUGAUCCCCAGGUUAGCUCAUUUAAUUAACUGCACCGCUAUUGGAUUAAUAAACAAGAUAACUAGUUAUUUAGGUUAAAAACUUAAAUAUAUUAUUUAGUGGAAAACUCUAUUUAAUAUGCUUGUGUGUAAGGGGUCUUGUGUUAUUUUACAAUAUGAGCCCCUAUAACACAAGACAAGUGUAUCAUCACUUUUGGUUUUAUUGUUUUUUAAUUUAAAUCAAAUGUGAUUUAAUAUAAUUAAAAUUAAUAAAUAUGGAGUCUAGGAUUUUCACCAAAUAUAGAUAUAAAAAUACUUAUUUUCUCUAAAAGAAGUAAGGAGCCACGUUAUACAGAUCAGAGAAAAAAAAUUUCUCUCUCUAAUUUUGAGAGAAAUAUUGCUAGUUGCUUUUUAAUGGCGAUAAAGGCGCCCAUACGUCAAGUGCAGAUUAAUCUUGAGUCAUAACCUAGAAGAUCAUUGGUGACUGAUUGUGUUCUAAUAAGAUUGGUGGUGACGGAUCGUGAUCUAACAUAACUGGUGGUGACAAAUUGUGAUCUGGGAGCCUAGAUUAAUUUAGCGAAAAAGCAAAAUCGGACUGUCAAUAUAUGAUUUUCUAGAUUAUGAAUUUCUAUAUAUUGUAUGAGUUUGGUCCUAAAAGUUUUUAUAAAAAUUUAAAAAAUUAAUUUUUCUCCAACAAUAGGGGUAUGCUAAGUUUGUUAGUACGCCCAUACCCAUAUUUUUUUUAUAAUUAUAUGACUACUAAUUAUUAUUAUUUUUCAUUUUAAUGGUAAAAAUUCAUCAGAGAAACCAUAUCUCGAUGUAAUUUGUAAUUCUAAGUUUCAUCUUCUGUGUGUUUUUGCUUGGAAACGGGGUCGGUUGAGCCUUUGAGGGCUCUGGAUCUUGGGCCACUGUAGAACUUGACGAGUUGAGUUGAGUUGUCUUAAGUUGUCUGGAAGAUCAUGUCAAAAAAAAAAAAAAGUUGUCUGGAAGAUGGGUUAGGCUUUCAAAUGUGUUUUAGCAAGCAGUUCUAAUGGAGUGAAAUGAACUUCAACACGCUAUAUAGUAUACUUUUUCAAUUAGCCUACGCUCUCUCUCCGAAGAACAGCUUAGGCAUUUUCUUUCCUUCGUCUUACAAACAAAAAAGAACGGAUCGGGUCCAACAAUAACUAUUUUGUUGUACCCAUCGCAAUCGAGGGACAACGACAAUACAUACACUCAAGUCAAAAAAAGAAGGGGCCAAUAAAAUCAAUUUUCUUAAUUCUUUACUUGAAAAGGUCAAAAGAAGACGACAGGCUAGCUAGCUAGCUAGUCGCAAAAUUCAUACACUCAAGACAACGACAAUACAUACACUCAAGUCAAAAAAAAGAAGGGCCAAAUAAAAUCGAUUUUCUUAAUUCUUUACUUGAAAAUGUUAAAAGAAGACGACGGACAAGCUAGCUAGCUAGCAGGUCGCAAAAAUUCCGUUCAUUAAUGCAAUGGAUCACAAUCACAAUCACCAUCACAGGGUCUAUUAAAUUUUAAUUUGGGUCGUUGGUCAUACAUGAGUAACACGAGUUACGCGAUGGCUUUGAGACUGUGGCUGACUGUUUUUUUUUAUUUUUUUAUUUUUUUUGUACAGGUUAGUUAGCUUAUCUUGAGUUUUCUCCAUAAGAAGGAUCAAUGAGAGAGCUUUACUCUGUAUACUACUGCUAAACUCAAUAGCAUUUCCCACUUCCCAGUCUCAUAAUUGUAAAAAUAAACAACAACAACAAUUGCCCGCUUACUUCAGUCUGUGAUGUUGAGGCCCUUUUUCUUGCUAAUAUUUCUGCUUAAUUUGGCAGCAUCAGCACUCACUGCUGUUGAGUAUACCAAAAAUGACUUCCCACCUGGCUUCAUUUUUGGUUCUGGCACUUCGGCUUAUCAGGUCCACAACUAAUUCUAACUUCUUCUACUCAGCUAUCUGAUCCGUUUCAGUUUACACUUUUAGUUUGUUGAUUAGAGGGGAAGGAAGGGAACAAAAAAAAAAAGACACAUCAGAUUCUUAUGAUAUGUAACGUGUAAUAUAGGUAGAAGGGGCAGUAAAUGAAGAUGGAAGGACGCCCAGCAUUUGGGAUAAUUUUGCACAUGCCGGUCAGUUUUGUUCUUUCAGAUUAAAUAUGAGUUUUGCCGAACCCCUUAGUUUAUCAUCACUCCUUGUUAUGUUCAUGAUUGUAUAUGCUGAGGUUGGCUGUUGAGUACAUAAAGGCACCAAGUCAGCCAUGCUACUGUUUCCGCCCCGGCAUGGACCAUUUCAGCUAAGCGGUACGAGCAGAACACGGGGGCAAACAUGAGCCGAUCAGAGAUGGUGCAACCAGGGGAACAUACCGACCAGAAGUAUAUGCCGAGCCAAUACUCAUCCCCAGGAAAGCGGGAACACGAUCCCACAAGAUCGCGGUAGUUGCGCUUCUCCCAGAACGGUUGAAGGACACACGAGAUCCACGUUUGCCCACAAUAUAACAGUUAGAGCUCCAUGAGGGGCUACCACCACCCGAAAAAGGAGGGAUAAGGGGCAAACGGAAAACGUGGGACAAAGGGCGGCUAUAAAAGAGAAAGACAUCGAAGAAGAAGGGGACAGAAAAAUUGAGAGAGGGAAAACGCUGCCAAAUUGCAACCAGAUUAAUUCCUUGCAGAUUUUGAACAAACUUCGUGAAUCCAAAUUAUAUUGUUUUCCCGUAAACACCUUGUACUAACUUAGGCAUCAGAGGGUUUACGCCGGCAAAACCACCGGCGUCUCUGAUCCAUUUUUAGUGAACGCAGGUCUAGUGAGAGAAAGGAGGGUGGUCCCGGCCUUAGUGGUUCGAGCAACAGUCGAUAACUUAAGCGUUGGUGAAAGGAUCUGGUCGGUCUAAGGACGAGCAGAUUUCAGCAUCAACAUUUUGGCGCCGUCUGUGGGGAGCUGAGUAAAAAGCUACCACCAAAUUAGUAAGUACCGGAGAAGCAGCGAGCAAUUGGAUAUGGAUGUGUCAAGAAAUGAUACUUUAAGGGAGGACAAUGAAACGGUGGAGACAAUUACUCUCCGGGAGAUUGCAAAUGAAGCCCGAGAGAGGAUGAUGCAAGAUAGACUGGAGCGGAUGGAGAAACAAAUGGAGACUCUCGCGGCCGUAUUGUUUGAGCUGAGGGACGAGCGGAGAAGGGAUUGUGAAACCCCCGUGGGAAGAGAUGGAAUUGGAGCAGAACCCAGCCUCCGGGGGCGUAGGGUCGGGGAAAUCCCUCCGCCCGCAGACCAACCUAACGGAGUGCAUCCCCACCGAAGUACUGGUCGGGUCCCAGGGGAAUACGUAGAUGGAGGGAGAGACCAAACUCGCCCCGGACAGGUACUAGAAAUAAAUGGCCGAGGGGCCAGUGUUGAUGAGGGAGAGCUCAGACAGCGGUUGCAGAACGUCGAGCAGGAGCGUGAUCAGAUAGCUGCACGUGAUCCUGAUCGUGCUGUAGAAUUGGAGGGGGAGGUGCGCAGAUUGGCGCAUGUGAUAGAGGAGAUGCAGGGCAAGAGGAAACCCCCGAGCUGGAGGAUAAUGCUAGAUGAAGAAUCCCCGUUAUCCACUGAGAUCAUGAGUACCAUAAUCCCAAGGGAUUUCCGCUUCCCCGACCUCAAAUACUCCGGGCGAAGUGACCCGUUGGUGCACAUUGAGCGUUUCAACGACAUGACGGGUGUGCAGGGGUUGACACCAGCUCAAAGGUGCAGGGUGUUCCCGUUGACACUAGAGGGACGAGCCCGAGAGUGGUACCGCAAGCUUCCCCGAGGAGGAAUUAAGGGUUAUGAGCAGAUGUGCCUGGAGUUGGCCGAACAGUUCCGAGGGGCAGUGGCCCCAGAGGAUGACAUGAUGGAAUUGAUGGGGAUGAAGCAGGAGGAGCAUGAAUCCCUUCGAGAUUUUGUAAAACGAUAUCACCGAGCCGUGCUGGAUCUGGGGGCUUUUAACCACCCACAGGCGUUGAGGGGAUUAAAAGAAGGUGUGAGAAUCGGCCGAUUGUGGUAUAACUUAAGAAGCCCCCUCGUACAGAAUUACUCGUCGGGAUAUGAGCAGGCGAGACGAAAUAUAGAAAUCGAAGAUGAGAAAUCGGCAAGAAUUAAAAGUGAACAGCUGGAAGAGCUGAGACGGAAGGAACGGAGAGCCCCGAAAGAGUGCGGGUCGGGAAAGCGAACGGGAGAAUCUUCAGUGAUGGGCGGAAUAUCAGCUCGUUCCCGCCCAUACCCCAUAGCUCCGAGAGCACAACAGUUCCAACACAGCUGGGCUCAACCUUCGCGCCUCCCGAUCCCAGAACGGCAACGAGAAUUCAGGCAGAUGACUGCCCACCCUUACCAGAGCAGUCCCAGAGGAUUAGGUGCAACUAAUUACAGGUCUGGACGACCCGAACAGAUACCGGCUAUGCCGGCCCGAGGUAACAUUCAUGAUAGCCGAGCAGUGCAGCUAGUAGACCAGAGCUUGGCCUAUAAGCAAUACACUCCAUUAAAGAUCUCCAUGGAGGAAUUGUAUGAGAGGAUCGAAGGACGAGGCCUGCUGUACCCUCCAGCCCAAAUAACAAAACCGACUCACCGACGGGACAAGAGCCGAUUCUGCAAGUUCCACGACACUCACGGUCAUACUAUCAGCCAAUGUCGUGACCUGAAGAUUCAGGUGGAGGAUUUAGUGAGGAACCGAUACUUGGACGAGUAUGUAGACGGAGUGUCCCCUGUCAUGGAAUCACAGUACACACGGGAUGAAGGAGUCGAGAGGGAUUUGGAACGUGAACAGCCGACCAUCCGUGUGAUAGCAGGAGGGCCAACAUUGGCCGGGGAUUCAAACAGAGCACGGAAGAACUAUGAGAGAUAUGCCAUGACCGGCAGAGAGGUGCUUCUAAAUUUGCCAGCAGCCAAGAAGGCAAGAGUGCGGCAAGUUCCCAUCAUGUGGACGGAGGAUGAUGAAGAGGGCAUUUUGUAUCCUCAUGAGGAUGCACUGGUGAUUAAAGCAUUGGUUGCUAGCACAGAAUUGAGGCGAAUACUGGUGGAUACGGGCAGCUCAGUCGAUAUUCUAUUUAAGUCGGCCCUAGAUGAUAUGGGGAUUUCAGAUUUAAAGCUGGAGCGGACAAACACAUCAUUAAAGGGAUUUGGAGGUGGACGAUUAACUCCCAUGGGGGUCAUUGAACUCCCAAUUACUGUGGGGACAAAGCCCUUUGAAAGAACGAUGAUGCUGGACUUUGUCGUGGUAGAGGAAAGAAGUCCUUACCAGAUGAUAUUGGGGAGACCCUUCAUGAGAAUAAGCCAAUGUGUAAUGUCCACGCAUUAUCUGGCGUUGAAAUACAGAAUAAAUGGAGUUGUGGGUGUAGUAAAGGGCGACCAGAGAAUGGCAAGGAGCUGCUAUGCUACAGAGGCCAAGGAAACGCUGCAGGUUACCUCUCUAGAUAACCGAGGAGAUUCAAGAAAUGGUCGCCAGGAACCUGUUGAGAAGCUGGAGGAAGUUGUUGUAAGCAGGAGUGACCCUAGCAGAGUUGUUAAGGUCGGAUCAGAAUUGGGCGAAGCAAUAAAGGCCGAGCUGGUGAAGUGUCUACAGUCCCAUGCAGACAUAUUUGCCUGGUCUCAUGAGGAUAUGCCAGGUAUUGACCGCGGGAUAGCUUGUCACAAGCUGGCGGUUAAGAAAGGGGCAAGGCCAGUGAGGCAGAAAAGGAGGUGCUUUAACCAUGAAAGGUACGAGGCCAUAAAUGCCGAGGUGGAAAAGCUGCUGAAAGCAGGAUUUAUAAGGGAAGCCAAGUACCCGGAGUGGAUUUCCAAUGUGGUACUGGUAAAGAAGGCCAAUGGGAAAUGGAGAAUGUGUGUAGACUUCACGGACCUCAAUAAGGCAUGCCCGAAGGACAGCUUUCCCCUACCAAGAAUAGAUCAGCUGGUGGACUCAACCGCGAGUCAUAGUCUGCUCAGUUUCAUAGAUGCCUUCUCCGGAUACAACCAGAUACCCAUGAACGAGCAGGAUGAGGAAAGCACCACCUUUAUAACUAACAUGGGUGUGUUUUGUUACAGGGUGAUGCCUUUUGGCUUGAAAAAUGCAGGAGCUACCUAUCAAAGGUUAGUGAACAAGGUCUUCAAACCAUUGAUCGGUCACACCAUGGAAGUAUAUGUGGACGAUAUGAUCACCAAGUCGAGUGGACGAUAUGAUCACCAAGUCGAGGGAACCGAGAGAUCAUGUGAAGCACCUGGAGGAGACUUUCGAAUUGCAGAAAUGUGCAUUUGGGGUCGGCUCGGGCAAAUUUUUGGGGUACCUGGUGAGCCAUCGGGGAAUUGAAGCCAACCCAGAAAAAAUACGGGCGGUAAUAGAAAUGAGGUCCCCACGAACAGUUAAGGAGGUGCAGAGCCUUACGGGGAAGUUGGCAGCGUUGAACCGAUUCAUUUCGCGAGCCACUGAUAAGUGCCACCCUUUCUUUCAAGUCAUAAAGAAAGGGAAGAAGAUGGAAUGGACACCGGAAUACGAGGGGGCAUUUGGACAGCUGAAGGAAUACCUAGCCCGCGCCCCGCUACUGUCAACUCCGAGAGAGGGUGAUCAGCUGCUCUUGUACUUGGCAAUCUCUAAGCAGGCUACCAGCUCGGUCUUAGUCAGAGAAGAAGAGGGAAGCAACACCCGGUAUACUACACAAGCAAGGCCCUGGUGGACGCAGAAACCAGAUAUCCGCUAAUGGAGAAGUGGGCGCUGGCUUUGAUAACGGCAGCACGCAAACUCCGACCAUACUUCCAAGCCCACCAGAUCGUUGUGAUGACUGACCAGCCACUUCGGCAAGUGCUUCAAAAACCAGAUGCGUCUGGUCGGUUAGUAAAAUGGUCCGUGGAGCUGAGCGAAUUUGACCUGUCCUACAGGCCCCGAGGAGCAAUCAAGGCCCAAGCCCUGGUAGAUUUCAUGGUGGACCGUGUUGAACCAGGGGAAGAGGUCCAAGAGAAACAACCAGCAGAGCAAGAGGAUUCAAAAUGGAUAUGGCUGGUAAUGGUUGACGGAUCAUGUAGUGAGCAAGGAUCCGGAGCAGGAGUUGUAAUACGGAGCCCAGAGGGAACCGAGAUAACAUAUGCGGUGAAGUUCGAAUUUCAGCUCACAAACAACCAAGCUGAAUAUGAGGCAUUUCUCACCGGGCUCGGACUUGCACACGCUCUAAGAGCAGAGAGGGUAGAAAUCAGAGCAGAUUCCCAGCUGUUGUGUAAUCAGCUCAAUGAUCAGUUCCAAGCAAGGGGAGAGAAGAUGGGUCUUUAUUUAAAGAAGGCCAAACAGAUGGUUAGGCUUUUCCAAGCAGUGGAGGUAAAACAGAUAUCCCGGAAUGAGAAUUUCCGAGCCGAUAUGCUGGCUAGGAUGGCAGCCGUUGCAGAUCCCAAAUUACCGAAGUCAGUUCCACUAGAGGUAAGGACCUCACCAAGUAUUGAGGAAGAAGCAGAGGUGAUGAGAGUAAGUAUUGGAGAAUCCUGGAUGGACCUGAUUCGCGCAUAUGUCCGCGAUGGAGUUUUACCAGAGGACAAAAGGCAAGCAAGAAAAUUAAAAUGCCGAGCAGCAAGGUAUACGCUACUGGAUGGAGUGCUGUACCGCCGAGGGUUCACCUUGCCCCUUUUGAGAUGUUUGGAUAACGAGGAGGCGGAUUAUGUGCUGAGAGAGAUUCAUGAGGGAAUAUGCGGCAAUCACUCGGGAGCAAGAACUUUAGCCUUCAAGGCACUCCGGCAAGGAUACUUCUGGCCAACCAUGCACCAGGAUGCCAAAAGGAUGGCCAAGAAUUGUAAAACAUGCCAAAGCUUCUCCGAGGUUCCUGCACAACCACCGGAGAAACUGACGGCUAUGACAUCCCCAUGGCCUUUCGCUCAAUGGGGAAUCGACUUGAUUGGUCCAUUACCUAAGGGACGAGGAGCGGCGACACAUGCAAUCGUGGCAAUAGACUACUUCACCAAGUUGGUGGAAGUAGGAGUCCUCAGCCAGAUCACAGAGAGGAAGACAACAGAUUUUAUUUGGAAAAACAUCAUCUGCAGAUAUGGGAUCCCCUACGCCAUCAUCACAGACAAUGGGAGGCAAUUUGACAACGGCAACUUCAGGAAAUUUUGCCGAAACCUGGCGGUGGACCUGAAGUUCUGCACCCCCGCACACCCCCAGGCAAACGGGCAAGUGGAAGCAGCCAACAAGGUGAUAAAGAAGCUCCUAAAGACUAGAUUGGGGGAGAAGAAGGGAGCUUGGGUUGACGAGCUACCAGGGGUACUGUGGGCCUACAGGACAACUCACAAAACCGCCACAUGAGAAACACCGUUCGCUUUAGCUUUUGGUCAUGAGGCGGUAAUCCCAGCAGAGAUUGGAGUGGGGACACAUAGAACGGAACAUUUCGUUGAGGAGCAAAAUGAUGAGCAGAUCUGCUUAAGCCUAGACCUGCUGGAGGAGAAAAGGGAAGGGGCCUCGCAGAAAGUGGCCCAAUGUCAGCAAAGGGUCAUGCGUUAUUACAACAAGAAUGUACGCGUGAGGCAGUUCCGAGCAGGAGAUUGGGUACUUAGGAAGGUGAACCAGAACAUCAGGAAUCCUAACCAUGGCGCUCUUGGCCCAAAGUGGGAAGGCCCAUACCGAGUGAUAUGAGCCACUGGACCAGGAGCAUAUAAAUUAGCGUGCCAAGACGGACGAGACGUGAAGAGGUCAUGGAACGCCGAACACCUGAAGAAGUAUUUCCAGUAAGCAAAAUGCUCUAUUAAAUCCUCACUCCGGCAAGUUAUUUCUGUUACAAUGCCUGAUGGCCUGUCGCACAUGCAUAUAUUCUAUGUUUUUGUAAUACAUUCAAAUUUCAAUAAAGAUGAAUUCAGCAUGAAAUCCCCCUGCUAGCAAGAUCAAUAAAAAUUUCACUAAGACAAGUGCCACUUCUGCUCGGUCAACGAAGACCAGCAGCUAAAUUCUCUAAAUUUCACUAAGGCAAGAGCCUACUUCUGCUCGGUCAACGAAGACCAGCAGCUAAAUUCUCGAAAGUUCACUAAGGCAAAUCAGUGCCUAUUUCUGCUCGGUCAACGAAUGACCAGCAGCUAAAGCUACGAACACUCUCCUAGGGCAAGUGCCUACUUCUGCUCGGUCAACGAAGACCAGCAGCUAAAUUCUCGAAAGUUCACUAAGGCAAAUCAGUGCCUACUUCUGCUCGGUCAACGAAUGACCAGCAGCUAAAGUUACGAACACUCUCCUAGGGCAAGUGCCUACUUCUGCUCGGUCAACAAAGACCAGUAGCUAAAUUCUCGAAAGUUCACUAAGGCAAAUCAGUGCCUACUUCUGCUCGGUCAACGAAUGACCAGCAGCUAAAGCUACGAACACUCUCCUAAGGCAAGUGCCUACUUCUGCUCGGUCAACGAAGACCAGCAGCUAAAACUUCGAAAAUUCUACUAAGGCAACAAAGUGCCUGUUUCUGCUCGGUCAAUGAAAGACCAGCAGCUAAUUCUACGAGAAGUUUACUAAGGCAAGUAAAUACCUACACCUACUCGGUCCACUAAAGAACCAGCAGGCAAGAUCAGAUAAGUUGUGCAAUUAUUUUGCAGAAACAGUCUAUGAGUAGACAUUAGACAAGGGAGCCAAUAAAGAGCAUCUGAAAAUUUAUUAAUGUUCAGUUGGUUACAAAACUAAUGAAGAUCUAAAGUCUAUACAAAAAUAGACCUAAGGAUUAGGAGGGUCAACGGCUUCAGCAGGUGAAGGAUCAGUUGUCCCAGGAGGUGAAGGAUCAGCAAUACUGGGAGGAGGCGGCAUGGAUCCUUGUCCCGUUUCAAAAGCACGUCCCCCAGCUCCCCCCUCCUGUACCUCAUAUAAAGGAGCCUCCACCUGAUUCUGCUCACCUUGCUCCUUAUCUCCCUGGCCGACCCCAGCCAUGUACCUCUCCACUCCAGCCUCCAGCUUGCUCAUAUCCAGCUCGGGAUAUUCUUCCUUAAGCACAGACAUGAUGCACUUAUAGGAGAAGGCAACCCCAGAGUCAUACUCGGCAUCCAGCCGAUCGUCCACAUCAGCAGAUUUGCCUUUCUCCUCAGCCAGCUGCUCACCCAAGGAUUUGAUUUCCCCCUCAAGGGCAGCCCUCAGAGUAUCCCUUUCAAUUUGAGUAGCCUGAAGAUCAGAUCUCAGGUCACCCAACUCGCCCUCAAGCUUGGAGGAAGUGGACUCAGCAACAGCAACUUUCUCAUGAAGCUCCGUAAGCUGUUUGUUCAGCUCGGCCAGUUUCUCCUUGGAGCGGUCAACAGAUUCAACUUUCUUUUUCAACUCUUGGUUAUCAGUCUGGAGCUUCUUCUCAUGACGAGCGGACCCGAUCUUGUAGCACGAGACCAUUGUGGCCAGCCUGAAGGAGACUCUCUGAACAGAAGCGGCCAACUCGGAGAGGCUCAUGCUCUCGAUGUCCUUCACCAUCUUGGGCCUAACCGAUUUUUUAUAAUCCUUCUGAUAUGGGCUCAGGUAGUCACCUUAAUCCCGAGAUGGAAGAGGAGAAGAUAUGUCCCCAGACUGCAAGCUGACCUCAGGAUUCUUGUCGGAAGUUUUCUCCCCACCACUCUUACGAGAUGGAGGAGGGGGCAGAGCAGGAACAAGCGCCUUGAAAGGACCGACGCUGGGUUUCUUCGGAGGAGGAGGAGGGUUGCUGGAGCUACUCGAGUCCCGACCACGCUUCCUGCUCAUCGCGCUGAGGAUCUUGUUAUCCAUCCCGGCAGCUAUGUCCACUAAGCCCGAGCUGACCAAACUUGUUGGUGACAGGAGGUCUUGGCAGGUAGACGCGUUCAAUAGAGCCGUUUCCACCUGAAGCAAAGGCCGAUCUUCAAGCCCCCCGAUCAAACCCCACGACUCUGAAAUAGCACAGAAGGUUAAAGAACUCAAUAAGUAGCAAUCUAAUUAAGAAUACAUGCAAAAAUGAACGACCUGGGGUGACAAAAUGGGUGGGAAGAUAAAUGUCCCCACCAAGCGACCGAACCGCUGGACACCAGUUCCCUCCAGCAAAGAAGAAUUUAUUCUUCCAAUUUUUACAUGAAGAUGGAAACCCAGUGAUCGGUUUCCUCUUUGCGGAACUGGACAUGAAAUAGUACCAGCCUGCCUCCUUCGGGCUACUCCGCAGCUGGUACAGAUGCUUCACUUCAACAAGAGAAGGCUCCUCCGACCCGCACCUCUCCCACAACACAAACAUUACCGAGAGAACCCUCUACCCAUUUGGGUGUAGCUGACCUGGGGCCAGGUGCAUACCGCCCAGUAUCUUGGCAAAGUAGGAUUGAAGGGGCAGCCGAGCUCCUAGUCUGAAACUCUCCAAGUGCAUCGUCACAUACCCAUUCGGAGGACGACUAGGGACAUCAUCUUUUCCAGGAACUACAAGAAGAACCUCGUUGGGGAUGUUAUAGAGGUUCCUAAGUUUAAAUAGAUCAGUGGGGGUGGUAGCACAAGCCAUGAAAUCAAUAGGGUAGGAAUCAGCCUCCACCCUAUGGCCUAGGUUCCUUUUCUGAGCAGGUCUGCUCGGUCCAGAACUGCUCCCCUCACCAUUACCAACUCCUUCAGGGAUCCCAACCCCACCAAAGCUGUGGUUCUCACCACAGCCCGACGCAGGUCCACCUCUAUUCCCUACAAGCUCCAGUUCAGGGGAAGGAGAGAUAACCAAAGGGCGUGGGUAUUCAAGGGUAUCCCUGCCAUGGGGAGAACCUACACUACUGGAGGGGCCUAAGUAAUCAGUGGGUAUUGGCACAUUGAGGCCCGAGUCCCCUGAUUCUUCAUCACCCUCAUCAACAAGUAACUUUCUUUUCCGGUUUGACAUAUUGGAAUUUCAAAAGAACACCAAAACAAACCCAAGUGCACGGAUACAAAAAGGGGCAACACAGGACCCAAACAACAACAGCCAAAGAAAAGGUUAAAGGCUAUACCUGGAAUAGACUGACACUGAUAGCGCUGCCGCGACAAAGAAAACACCCAGCAAAUGGAUACUCCGGACGCUGGAAAUAGUGAGCAAAGUUCAAAGAAAUUUUGGUUAACGGCGGAGAAAAUGAAUAACAAGAUGAUGAUGACUCCAGUCUAGGGAUUUGAAACGAAAAGGGGGAAAUGGAAGCAUUUAAGUGAUGGGAUAUGCCAGCUCACCCCCCCAUAUAUCGAGGACGGAUAGCCCGUCGUUUCAAAUUUCAAAUACGAAGAGUCUGGAGAUGCCACGUCACCAACCGUUACAAGAGGCCAGGUUAGAUAUAAGCCCAGAUAUGCAAUGAACAUGUUCACUUAGGCCCAUGUUCAGGUCGGAGUCUCCCCAGAAGAGAAGCUCCCCGGCUGGUGAGAUUUAACCAUCAGUUUCUGCUCUUAACUCAUUUCACUCGCCAAACCAGAAACUGGGGGACUGGUGUUGAGUACAUAAAGGCACCAAGUCAGCCAUGCUACUGUUUCCGCCCCGGCACGGACCAUUUCAGCUAAACGGUACGAGCAGAACACGGGGGCAAACAUGAGCCGAUCAGAGAUGGUGCAACCAGGGGAACAUACCGACCAGAAGUAUAUGCCGAGCCAAUACUCAUCCCCAGGAAAGCGGGAACACGAUCCCACAAGAUCGCGGUAGUUGCGCUUCUCCCAGAACGGUUGAAGGACACACGAGAUCCACGUUUGCCCACAAUAUAACAGUUAGAGCUCCAUGAGGGGCUACCACCACCCGAAAAAGGAGGGAUAAGGGGCAAACGGAAAACGUGGGACAAAGGGCGGCUAUAAAAGAGAAAGACAUCGAAGAAGAAGGGGACAGAAAAAUUGAGAGAGGGAAAACGCUGCCAAAUUGCAACCAGAUUAAUUCCUUGCAGAUUUUGAACAAACUUCGUGAAUCCAAAUUAUAUUGUUUUCCCGUAAACACCUUGUGCUAACUUAGGCAUCGGAGGGUUUACGCCGGCAAAACCACCGGCGUCUCUGAUCCAUUUUUGGUGAACGCAGGUCUAGUGAGAGAAAGGAGGGUGGUCCCGGCCUUAGUGGUUCGAGCAACAGUCGAUAACUUAAGCGUUGGUGAAAGGAUCUGGUCGGUCUAAGGACGAGCAGAUUUCAGCAUCAACAUUGGCACUGAAAUUAAACGAGAGUUCAUGCUUGUUUAUGAGAUAUUAGAUAUCAAAGCUUCACCCAUAGUAAUUUUUCAUUGAUUUACUAUCACUGUAUUUAUCAAAAAAAUUUCUUCUAUCAGCUGUGUUGGGUUUUCUCUUCUAAAUUUUCAGGGAAUGUGCUUGGCAAUGGAGACAUAGCAUGUGAUAAGUAUCAUAAGUACAAGGUGGACACAUCAUGCCUUAAAUCAUUAUGAUUCUUCACAUAAAGCUCAAGUAAAAUUCAAUUACAGUUCAUCCUCAUUUUGUCUAUUGAAACUAAUUGAAAUGGUUAUACGACAAUAACCAACCAACAGCUGGUUGAUUUUGCUUGUUCAUGCAAAACAUUGCAUCUUGUGGCACAAUGAUACCUGUGCAACCCAUGUGCUUUUUUUUCAGGAAGAUGUGAAGCUCAUGGCAGACACAGGCCUAGAUGCCUAUAGACUUUCCAUCUCAUGGUCAAGACUAAUUCCAAGUAUGAUAAGAUACUCCUGGCUUUUAUGAACCUUAUAACAAUUAUGCAAUUUCUGAGUCGUUCUCACAGAUUAUCCUCAUUUUCUUCUAUCUUUCUUGUUCAGAUGGAAGAGGACCUGUCAAUCCAAAAGGUUUACAGUACUACAACAACCUCAUAAAUGAGCUAAUCCGCUAUGGUCGGUUCCAGUUUUUCAUUACUACUUAUAGAAACUCAAUUUCUUUGCAUAUAUUUAAGGAAAGUACUUCCACUAUCUCCAAUGUACCACUUUUGUUUGAAUCAAUCAGGAAUCCAACCGCAUGUCACAUUACACCAUUUUGAUCUUCCUCAGGCACUGGAAGAUGAGUAUGGCGGAUGGAUCAAUCGAAUGAUUGUGUAUAUUUCUCAGUUCCUUGUGGUUUUAGCUUACCCUUUUGUGCUUGGUUAAAUAAGCAAAUCAAUAAAAGUGUUGAUGACUGUGUCUAUAUUUUCUCCAUUUUAAAUGCAGGAAAGACUUCACAGCUUAUGCAGAUGUAUGCUUCAGAGAGUUCGGCGAUAGGGUUUCAUAUUGGACCACUGUGAAUGAGCCAAAUGGAUUUGCAAUGGUAGGUUAUGACUUCGGAAUUGCACCACCUAAACGAUGUUCUUCUUCAUUCAACAACUGCUCUAGAGGCAAUUCUUCCACUGAGCCAUACAUGGCAGUUCAUCAUCUCUUAUUGGCACAUGCAUCUGUUGCAAGAUUGUAUAAAAAGAAUUACCAGGUAAUAUCCAAAAAAAUUUCAUUCAUGUGCUUCAGUAUUUCAUCUAGUGUGUGACUUAGUCAAUCAUUUAUCCUUUCAGUUAUUUAUAUUGAGUUCAACAAGAAGUAUUUGGCUUCAGCAUCAAGCAUUUAUAGUCUUUCUUGUUAGAAUAGAAAUUUUGUGUCCGCACAUUACUUCCUUAGAUGUCAAUUUUUGCCAUUGCAAUAUCCCAUAUCGCUUUGAGUGUGUGAGAGAAGCCUAAUACUUAUAGAAGGUGAUCCACAUUUAUAAAAGAUUGUAUAAAAAGAUCCACACUUUACUUAUAGGCACCCUGAGAAUGAAUCCGUAAGGGUUCAGUAUCAAAAUGGAUUAUAUCUUGUCAAAUCUAGGUUGAGUCGUAAAUGAUGGGCAGAACCAUUCUUGAUUAGAAGUGUGGGAACUGAGUUUCUAAGCUUGGUAGGUUGUACGUGCUUGGUUAUAGGAGAAGUCUAGUGCUUAUAAAGGGUGAUCCAAACCUUAAUUGACAAGACACAUUUUGAGUGUAUAAGCAUCCUGAAAAUAAAUUCGUGACAGUUUAGGUCCAAUGCUAACAAUUUAUUGCCAGGUUUAGUUUUGGGUCAUGACAGUCAUGUCUAAAGAUAUUGGAAUAAUUGCAACGCAUGGUGAUGCAGGACAAGCAACAUGGCUAUAUAGGUCUAAGCAUCUUUUCAUUUGGGGUUUUUCCUCUUACAAACUCAGAGGAGGAUGCAAUUGCAACUCAAAGAUACUUUGAUUUCCUGAUUGGUUGGUACGAUAAGAAUCUAUAUGUCUUGAGCUCUCUGUUUGGCUCCUCUUCCAUAUAAUGUCACUUUUUCCAUUAACCUAAUUAUUUUAAAUUUCAGCUGUAGCUAAUAUUUAUAUUGCACUGAAUUUCAGGGUUGCAAAUCCGUUAGUGUACGGAGACUAUCCCAAAACAAUGAAACAAAAUGCAGGCUCAAGACUUCCAGCUUUCACUGAUCGUGAAUCCCAACAGAUUAAAGGUUCUGCUGACUUUAUUGGAGUGAUAAACUAUUGCAUGAUUUACAUCAAGGACAAUCCCAGCAGUCUGAAACAGGAACACAGAGACUGGAGUGCAGACACAGCGACAAUGGCUUUUUGUAUGUUCUCUACAUAUCAUUAGUCUUGCUUUGCUGAUAAAUGGUUGAAUUAUGCAUGAGUUGAUUCCUCUUUGACUCUAUCAAAGUUCAUCUAGUCAAACUCAUCCGUGGCUUAAUUUCAAUCUAGAACUUCCAUAUGGUGGUCCUUUUAUACUUACGAUCUUGUAACUGUGUAAACUCAUCAUAUAUACCAAGUUGACAAGUCAUUCUUUUUUAAAAAAAAAAAAUUGUCUGCCUAAUUGAGAAACUAAAACAAUUGAUUGAUUGUGGCAGUUGAACAAGAUACUGCUGCAUCAUCAAAUGAGGUGGGACUUUUAAGUACACAAUUAAAGUAUUUGUUUAAUCUACUUGAUUUAGUUCACUGCAUUCCUAAUUUUCUUUGUUUGACACAAUCUUCAAUACAGCCCUCAAGCCUGCAAAUAGUGCUGGAGUAUUUUAAGCGAGUCUAUGGCAAUCCUCCUAUUUAUGUUCAUGAAAAUGGUUCUCUCUUUCUCUCUCUUUCUUUCUCUUUCUCUAUCUAUUUAUCUAUCUAUCUGUUGAUUCGUGACGACUAACUACAGUAAGUAAACUUGCAUAUGCUGAUCUUUUUCUUGAACUGAUAAAGUAUUUAAAAAGGUAACAGAUGAAGAAUCAAAGGGCUGAAAUCCCUAAUCAUGCUGCCUGGUCUGCUACUUGAAAAAAAGAAAAAAGAAUCAUGCUUAUUUCUUUGAUAUUUCCAUAAAUCAUCUAAUUUGAGUAUGCAACAGCAUAUAGUGGUGGCUAAUUACACAUGGAAACAUACCCUACUAUAUUAUGCGUAAAGGGGGAAAAAAACAGAAAGAAAGACCGGCAGUAGCUAUUCUCGUGGUGGCAACUGUGGUUUUGUGUCAAAAGAUAAUUGUCGUCAGAUGCAACAUUAAUAUAAUAUAAUCAAUACUUGCUUCACUCGUUCUUAUUUUCUAAUUUGUUUUGUUUUAUCAUCAAAUGAUUCUUAUCAGGUCUGGCCACCCCACACCAUUCAUCGUUGGAAGAUAUAUCCAGGGUUAAAUAUUUGCACGCAUACAUUGGAAGUGUGCUUGAUGCUGUGAGGUAAUGCCUAUUUUAUGCCAAAGUAGACCCCUUGAAUGUCUUUUAGAUUUUUUUGAGGGCAAAAAAGAGCUCAUACGCAUUUGACUCAAAAUAUUUUAACAGAAAAUUAGUGUAUUAUGGAAUGGUUUUGACUGUUGGCAUCAUAUAAAUGUAGAGCUUUUACAAAGUCCAUCAUUUCACCUCCUUUCCAUUUUUCCUGAAAUGAAGUUAAGUGAUCUGUGUGUAUAAUCUAACUUCUUUACUGUUUGCUUUUUAUUCUUGGACAAAUGGAAGAAAUGGAUCAAAUACAAGAGGGUACUUUGUAUGGUCCUUCUUGGACGUGUUCGAGUUGUUGGAUGGCUAUGCAUCAAGCUACGGCCUGUACUAUGUUGACCGAGAUGAUCCGGAUUUGAAGAGAUA
rnacentral:lncRNA from 1 species